AACGGAAGCAUGACACUUGACAAAGGCAUGCGCGGAUCACUGGGAUGACUUAAUUUAUAGCAGGGCGUGGCUAUGAAAUUAAGGGCGAGGCAAGGUCCAAGGCAAAGCUGGGCUGGAGACAAAAAAAACGUGGGCAAAGCUGGAGGCAAUUGUACAUGGCAUGUGACGAAGUGGUGUGCAAGGCAUGUGCUUGGAAGUUGAAGACAUGUGCC
rnacentral:lncRNA from 1 species